AAGCGGGGGACUGGGUUAUUCGAGCAACGCGCAGAACCUUACCAGCCCUUGACAUCCCGGUCGCGGACAGGAGAGAUCCUGUCCUUCAGUUCGGCUGGACCGGUGACAGGUGCUGCAUGGCUGUCGUCAGCUCGUGUCGUGAGAUGUUGGGUUAAGUCCCGCAACGAGCGCAACCCUCGCCCUUAGUUGCCAGCAUUCAGUUGGGCACUCUAAGGGGACUGCCGGUGAUAAGCCGAGAGGAAGGUGGGGAUGACGUCAAGUCCUCAUGGCCCUUACGGGCUGGGCUACACACGUGCUACAAUGGUGGUGACAGUGGGCAGCGAGACCGCGAGGUCGAGCUAAUCUCCAAAAACCAUCUCAGUUCGGAUUGCACUCUGCAACUCGGGUGCAUGAAGUUGGAAUCGCUAGUAAUCGUGGAUCAGCAUGCCACGGUGAAUACGUUCCCGGGCCUUGUACACACCGCCCGUAA
rnacentral:rRNA from 1 species